rnacentral:rRNA from 1 species
UACGUAGGGUACGAGCGUUAAUCGGAAUUACUGGGCGUAAAGCGUGCGCAGGCGGUUUUGUAAGCCAGGUGUGAAAUCCCCGGGCUCAACCUGGGAAUGGCAUUUGGGACUGCAAGGCUGGAGUGCGGCAGAGGAGACUGGAAUUCCUGGUGUAGCAGUGAAAUGCGUAGAUAUCAGGAGGAACACCGAUGGCGAAGGCAGGUCUCUGGGCUGACACUGACGCUCAUGCACGAAAGCGUGGGGAGCAAACAGG